rnacentral:rRNA from 1 species
CUACGGGGUGCUGCAGUGGGGAAUAUUGCACAAUGGGCGCAAGCCUGAUGCAGCAACGCCGCGUGAGGGAUGAAGGCCUUCGGGUUGUAAACCUCUUUUAGCAGGGAAGAAGCGAAAGUGACGGUACCUGCAGAAAAAGCACCGGCUAACUACGUGCCAGCAGCCGCGGUAAUACGUAGGGUGCAAGCGUUGUCCGGAAUUAUUGGGCGUAAAGAGCUCGUAGGCGGUUUGUCACGUCUGCUGUGAAAAUCCAAGGCUUAACCUUGGACUUGCAGUGGGUACGGGCAGGCUAGAGUGCGGUAGGGGAGAUGGGAAUUCCUGGUGUAGCGGUGGAAUGCGCAGAUAUCAGGAGGAACACCAAUGGCGAAGGCACAUCUCUGGGCCGUAACUGACGCUGAGGAGCGAAAGCGUGGGGAGCGAACAGGAUUAGAUACCCCGGUAGUC